GACGAACCGUGCGAACGUUGUUCGGAAUCACUGGGCAUAAAGGGCGCGUAGGCGGCUUAUCAAGUCAGGGGUGAAAUCCGGCAGCUCAACUGUCGAAGUGCCUUUGAUACUGAUGAGCUAGAGGGAGAUAGGGGUAUGCGGAACUUCCGGUGGAGCGGUGAAAUGCGUUGAUAUCGGAAGGAACGCCGGUGGCGAAAGCGGCGUACUGGAUCACUACUGACGCUGAGGAACGAAAGCUAGGGGAGCAAACAGG
rnacentral:rRNA from 1 species